GACGAACUGAGCGAACGUUGUUCGGAAUAACUGGGCUUAAAGGGCGCGUAGGCGGGCCGCCAAGUUCGAGGUGAAAUCCUCCGGCUCAACCGGAGAACUGCCUCGAAUACUGGAGGCCUCGAGGCGGGUAGGGGCAUGCGGAACUGUGGGUGGAGCGGUGAAAUGCGUUGAUAUCCACAGGAACUCCGGUGGCGAAGGCGGGUCUCUGGGCAGUAACUGACGCUGAGGAGCGAAAGCGUGGGGAGCGAACAGG
rnacentral:rRNA from 1 species